CAAAAACGUCAAUUCCAUACUUACAUAAUACAUAAUUUUUAAAAAUAUAAAAAAAAUAUAUGCAUUUAUAUAUUACGCUUUAUACAUUAUUUUGAAUUAAUUAAAAAAAAAAAAAAAAAAAAAAAAAACUUUAUAGCAUAUAUAUUCACUUUUAUUAUAUAUAGCUAUAGAGUUUUUUUAAUUAAAAGUUAGAUAAUUAAAAUUUGUUUUUUAUUACAUAUAUAUAUAUAUAUAUUCAUAAACAUAUAUAAUCUUAUUCAUACAUUAAAUAUAAUUGAUUUUAUUAUUAUUUAUUUAUUUUUUUUUUUUUUUAUUAAUAUAUAUAAUAUAUAAACAUAUCAUAUUCUCAUAACUUUUUUAUAAAAAGUAAAAAAGAAAAAAAAAGUAACGGUAAAACUUAAAGAAGAUAAAAAAAAAAAAAAAAAAAAAAAAAAAAAGGGAGUAGAUAAAUAUCAUUUUAUAUGAAAGAGAAAACACAACUGAAAAAACAAAGCAUAGGAAUUACUCAAGAAUUAGCAAGGUAUUAUUUAAAAGAGAUAGAAAAAAAUUUAAAGUCAUAGCGAAUAGAAUUACUCCAUACUGCACAGAAAUAUCAAGAUACAAAAAGGAAAUAAUAAGAGCACGAAAAUUUUUAAAAGAUUAUAGAAAAAAUUACAAAUUUUUAUAUUCAAAGAAAAAUAUAAUUAAUUCAGAAGGUGAAAAGAAAGUAAAAAGAAAAAAUUCAUUAGAAAAAAAAAAAAGCACAAAUUUAAACCUUUUAGAAAGAACUUCAAAAAGUAAAAAGAAAAAGAACCAAGUUAUAACAGCACAUCGAAUUAAUUAUAAUAUUGUUUUUAAAAAAACAUAUAUAACAAAUAUAAAACCUCAUACAAAUCUGUUAUUAAAUUUAAAAGGUUCUAAAAGACAUCGUUUAAGUAAAAAAGGUCUUCAUUUUAACGAUAAGUUAAAAAAUGAUAUUAUUUUAAAAAAAAAUAGUAGUGCGGAAAAUUCUAUUCAAAGUAAGGAAAAGAAUAAAAAUAAUAGAACUAAAGAAAAUGAUGUGAAUAAAAGUGAUAAUAAUGAAAUAAAUCAUAAGUAUAAAAUAUUAAAUGAAAAUUU
rnacentral:lncRNA from 1 species